rnacentral:rRNA from 1 species
GACGAACGCUGGCGGCGUGCCUAAUACAUGCAAGUCGAACGCAGUGGGGACGGGUGAGUAACACCUGGGUAACCUCCCAUCAGAGGGGAUAACACUUGGAAACAGGUGCUAAACCGAUAUUGGUGGAUGGACCCGCGGUGCAUUAGGUAGUUGGUGAGGUCACGGCCCACCAAGGCCACGAUGCAUACCGGACCGGAGAGGGUGAGCGGCCACACGGGGACUGAGACACGGCCCAGACUCCGAAGGGAGGCAGCAGUAGGGAAUCUUCGGCAAUGGACGAAAGUCUGACCGAGCAACGCCGCGUGAGUGAAGAAGGUUUUCGGAUCGUAAAACUCUGUUGUUAGAGAAGCGGUAUCUAACCAGAAAGCCACGGCUAACUACGUGCCAGCAGCCGCGGUAAUAC